GACCGCAUAGGGUGGGCCUACAUGGAGAUGAGGUAGCUACAUCAUCUCCUACGAUGAUAGAAUAAUUUUACAUAUUAUUAUUUUUUAUAUUUAAUUUGUUUUAAUUUUUUAUCAUGUAUAAAUAACUGAUUUUAAGCUAUACCACUAGGAGGACCAUCUCACAAGAGAGGGCCAUAUAGAGAUGUCAACGCAUCUACAUCUCAGCAGUAGUC
rnacentral:lncRNA from 1 species